rnacentral:rRNA from 2 species
GAACGCUGGCGGCGUGCCUAAUACAUGCAAGUCGAACGAACUCUGGUAUUGAUUGGUGCUUGCAUCAUGAUUUACAUUUGAGUGAGUGGCGAACUGGUGAGUAACACGUGGGAAACCUGCCCAGAAGCGGGGGAUAACACCUGGAAACAGAUGCUAAUACCGCAUAACAACUUGGACCGCAUGGUCCGAGUUUGAAAGAUGGCUUCGGCUAUCACUUUUGGAUGGUCCCGCGGCGUAUUAGCUAGAUGGUGGGGUAACGGCUCACCAUGGCAAUGAUACGUAGCCGACCUGAGAGGGUAAUCGGCCACAUUGGGACUGAGACACGGCCCAAACUCCUACGGGAGGCAGCAGUAGGGAAUCUUCCACAAUGGACGAAAGUCUGAUGGAGCAACGCCGCGUGAGUGAAGAAGGGUUUCGGCUCGUAAAACUCUGUUGUUAAAGAAGAACAUAUCUGAGAGUAACUGUUCAGGUAUUGACGGUAUUUAACCAGAAAGCCACGGCUAACUACGUGCCAGCAGCCGCGGUAAUACGUAGGUGGCAAGCGUUGUCCGGAUUUAUUGGGCGUAAAGCGAGCGCAGGCGGUUUUUUAAGUCUGAUGUGAAAGCCUUCGGCUCAACCGAAGAAGUGCAUCGGAAACUGGGAAACUUGAGUGCAGAAGAGGACAGUGGAACUCCAUGUGUAGCGGUGAAAUGCGUAGAUAUAUGGAAGAACACCAGUGGCGAAGGCGGCUGUCUGGUCUGUAACUGACGCUGAGGCUCGAAAGUAUGGGUAGCAAACAGGAUUAGAUACCCUGGUAGUCCAUACCGUAAACGAUGAAUGCUAAGUGUUGGAGGGUUUCCGCCCUUCAGUGCUGCAGCUAACGCAUUAAGCAUUCCGCCUGGGGAGUACGGCCGCAAGGCUGAAACUCAAAGGAAUUGACGGGGGCCCGCACAAGCGGUGGAGCAUGUGGUUUAAUUCGAAGCUACGCGAAGAACCUUACCAGGUCUUGACAUACUAUGCAAAUCUAAGAGAUUAGACGUUCCCUUCGGGGACAUGGAUACAGGUGGUGCAUGGUUGUCGUCAGCUCGUGUCGUGAGAUGUUGGGUUAAGUCCCGCAACGAGCGCAACCCUUAUUAUCAGUUGCCAGCAUUAAGUUGGGCACUCUGGUGAGACUGCCGGUGACAAACCGGAGGAAGGUGGGGAUGACGUCAAAUCAUCAUGCCCCUUAUGACCUGGGCUACACACGUGCUACAAUGGAUGGUACAACGAGUUGCGAACUCGCGAGAGUAAGCUAAUCUCUUAAAGCCAUUCUCAGUUCGGAUUGUAGGCUGCAACUCGCCUACAUGAAGUCGGAAUCGCUAGUAAUCGCGGAUCAGCAUGCCGCGGUGAAUACGUUCCCGGGCCUUGUACACACCGCCCGUCACACCAUGAGAGUUUGUAACACCCAAAGUCGGUGGGGUAACCUUUUAGGAACCAGCCGCCUAAGGUGGGACAGAUGAUUAGGG